rnacentral:rRNA from 1 species
ACGCCAGUCUGCAUGGAGCCGACCUUGAAAUACCACCCUUUAAUGUUUGAUGUUCUAACGUUGACCCGUAAUCCGGGUUGCGGACAGUGUCUGGUGGGUAGUUUGACUGGGGCGGUCUCCUCCUAAAGAGUAACGGAGGAGCACGAAGGUUGGCUAAUCCUGGUCGGACAUCAGGAGGUUAGUGCAAUGGCAUAAGCCAGCUUGACUGCGAGCGUGACGGCGCGAGCAGGUGCGAAAGCAGGUCAUAGUGAUCCGGUGGUUCUGAAUGGAAGGGCCAUCGCUCAACGGAUAAAAGGUACUCCGGGGAUAACAGGCUGAUACCGCCCAAGAGUUCAUAUCGACGGCGGUGUUUGGCACCUCGAUGUCGGCUCAUCACAUCCUGGGGCUGAAGUAGGUCCCAAGGGUAUGGCUGUUCGCCAUUUAAAGUGGUACGCGAGCUGGGUUUAGAACGUCGUGAGACAGUUCGGUCCCUAUCUGCCGUGGGCGCUGGAGAACUGAGGGGGGCUGCUCCUAGUACGAGAGGACCGGAGUGGACGCAUCACUGGUGUUCGGGUUGUCAUGCCAAUGGCACUGCCCGGUAGCUAAAUGCGGAAGAGAUAAGUGCUGAAAGCAUCUAAGCACGAAACUUGCCCCGAGAUGAGUUCUCCCUGACUCCUUGAGAGUCCUGAAGGAACGUUGAAGACGACGACGUUGAUAGGCCGGGUGUGUAAGCGCAGCGAUGCGUUGAGCUAACCGGUACUAAUGAACCGUGAGGCUUAACCUUACAACGCCGAAG